CACGUAGGGACCAAGCGUUGUCCGGAUUCAUUGGGCGUAAAGAGCUCGUAGGCGGCUUGGUAAGUCGGGUGUGAAACCUCCAGGCUCAACCUGGUGACGCCACCCGAUACUGCUAUAGCUUGAGUUCGGUAGGGGAGCGGGGAAUUCCUGGUGUAGCGGUGAAAUGCGCAGAUAUCAGGAGGAACACCGGUGGCGAAGGCGUCGCUCUGGGCCGAAACUGACGCUCAUGCACGAAAGCGUGGGGAGCAAACAGG
rnacentral:rRNA from 1 species